rnacentral:tRNA from 1 species
AGCUAUGUAGUGUACUGAUUUGCACAUUAGUUUGCCAAGUGAAAGGUUGCUGGUUUGAUUCCAGCCAAAGAUA